UACGUAGGGUGCAAGCGUUGUCCGGAAUUAUUGGGCGUAAAGAGCUCGUAGGCGGCUUGUCACGUCGACUGUGAAAACCCGAGGCUCAACCUCGGGCCUGCAGUCGAUACGGGCAGGCUAGAGUUCGGUAGGGGAGACUGGAAUUCCUGGUGUAGCGGUGAAAUGCGCAGAUAUCAGGAGGAACACCAGUGGCGAAGGCGGUGCUCUGGGGCCGGUACUGACGCUGAGGAGCGAAAGCGUGGGUAGCAAACAGG
rnacentral:rRNA from 1 species